GGUUUAAUAAGAGUUUGGUCCGCAAUAUCAAUCCACUAAUCACAGUCAAUUAUAAAGGUUCGUCGAUUAUAACAGUACUAACAAUGAUUAGUCCAACAAUUUAUAUCGCGCGGAAAAUAUAAAUAGUUGAUUUUAAUAGUAUUGAUUUUAAUAACCUGAGCACACCGCAUACGGGCACGCUACGAGGGUUAUAUUAAUUAGUGUUGAGUGAUUUAUAGAUAUAUGACGCGGUCGAU
rnacentral:lncRNA from 1 species